rnacentral:rRNA from 1 species
AGGGCACCACCAGGAGUGGAGCCUGCGGCUUAAUUUGACUCAACACGGGAAAACUUACCUGGUCAGGACACUGGAAGGAUUGACAGAUUGAGAGCUCUUUCUUGAUUCAGUGGGUGGUGGUGCAUGGCCGUUCUUAGUUGGUGGAGCGAUUUGUCUGGUUAAUUCCGAUAACGAACGAAACUCUAGCCUACUAAAUAGACUGCUCAACUUUAUAGCUGCAUCACCUUGCAGUGGCUUCGGUUGCUGUAAGGCUGUGGUGACGUUGGCAGUGCUUCUUAGAGGGACAGGCGGCGGUUCAGCCGCACGAAACAGAGCAAUAACAGGUCUGUGAUGCCCUUAGAUGUCCAGGGCCGCACGCGCGCUACACUGAAGUGAUCAGCGUGCAAUUAACGUUUCCUACUCCGUCAGGAGUGGGUAACCCGUUGAACCUUCUUCGUGAUUGGGAUAGGGGAUUGUAAUUAUUCCCCUUGAACGAGGAAUUCCCAGUAAGCGCAAGUCAUAAGCUUGCGUUGAUUACGU